GGGGCAAGAUGGCGGCCUCGCGGCGAGGGAGAACUUCUGCCACGGUGGUAUCCUGCUGCUGCCGCCCUCGUUCAGCCAAAGACCAGGCCAGGCGACGUCGGCCCUCAGCUCCCGCUUUUUGCUCCUUUGAUCCCCUGCCCCCAGCCCUGCCUUUGGAGUUGAAUUCCAGGCCCAGGGAUGGAACCCAAGCCUCAGCAGCAACACCACCAGGUCCUUAGCCCAGUGCACCCCUUGGGAACUCCAAAAAGCCGCUUUUUUCUCUCCAUGGUCAUAACUGGGACCGGUUGAGGCGUGCCCCUGUGGAAGCCAGCGAGCUGGGGCUGUGCUCGAAGCCAGGACACCCCCUGGGGGGAGCCAGCCCCGGAGCCUGACCUGUGUGUCCGCAUGGCCUGUUGUCCGGCCCCAAGGUGGGCCCCUGGGCAGGGUUGUCAGCUGGGCUAGAGUCCUUAACUGCCGGCCAGCUCUCGUCGCUCCCUCUGCAGGCGCUGCUCCAUCUGAGUGGGGCGUGUUACUCUCUUUACUUCCUGGCCACGCUCCUGCUGAUCGCGUAUAAAAGCCAAGUUUUCACCUAUCCUCACGGCUUCCUGGUCCUUGACCUGACUCUGCUCUUCCUGAUGGGGAUUCUGGAAGCAACGCGGCUGUACCUCGGCACCAAGGGCAACCUGACGGAGGCCGAGGUGCCGCUGGCCGCCAGCCUGGUCCUGACUGUGGGCGGCACCCUGCUGGCCAUCUACUUCCUGCUCUGGCAGACCCUGGUGCUGCGGGCAGACUGGGUCCUUGGCGCCACGCUCCUGGUGCUCCAUGGCCUGGAGGCCGUCCUGCAGGUGGUGGCCAUCGCCGGCUUUGUCAGCUAGGCCCCUGCGGCAGCCCCGGCCAGGAGCCCUUCCUGAGGGUGAGACGGCCUGCCAGCCGUUGCCCAGGGGGAGGGCGUCCUUCUGCUGAUGCGCCAUGACCUUGGAGGGCCUGGCGGCUUGGGUGAUCUCUGAGUCCUUGAGGCGGAGAUGGGCUCAGGAGCCAGGGCAGAGCAAAAUGCUGGGGCAGGCGGGGGCCCAGCGGAAGCCGGGACUGCCCGGGCGUCCUCCUCAGGAAGCGCAGGCCCCGCUUGGCUGGCAGGACCUCCAUUCAGCAACCGCCCUGCCCCCUGGGCCGGAAGGCAGCGAGGGGCCGGGGACGAGCCCCGGGCAGACGCUGCUCUGCCUCUUCCACGAGAGAGUAAUGCCAGAGAGCCAGGGCUUCUUCCCCCCGGGGACACAGGAAAGGCGAGCUUGAAGCGCCAGUGCCCAGGGGACAGAGCGCCUCCCUCAGCAGGACGUUGGCCCUGGGCACCGGGGACUUCGCCAGGGGGACCUUUGCCCACUCACAGACCCACUCCAGUGCCUCUGGAAGAAACCUGAGCUGAUGUUUUCUGGCAACUUUCAUUUGUUUCAGUUGUACAUUUUCUGUGUUUGGAAUAAUACCGUGUUUGAAUAUCUAGACAUUUUUCUCUUCACUGUAGUUUUUAAAUAAAGCGUUUAUCCUUCCC
rnacentral:lncRNA from 1 species